UACAAACUGCAAUGAGGACUCCAUGACCUUUUCUAAACUGCGGCAAACUUGCAAUCACGUCUGGUUGAGCUUUAUUGAAACGAACUUUUCCCAUGGGUUGGUGAGUAAAAUGUAGGUACGAUUUUUAAUUGCAUCUAGUUUUAAGAGUUUUAUUACUUGUGUUAACUGAUCUCUUUGCUUUCAGGACCCAUACAAACUGCAAUGAGGACUCCAUGACCUUUUCUAAACUGCGGCAAACUUGCAAUCACGUCUGGUUGAGCUUUAUUGAAACGAACUUUUCCCAUGGGUUGUGCCUUUCAGAUGUUUUUUCCCCUGAGUCACAAAUUUAAAUUUCAAAUCUCUAUCACACCAGAAAUGAGCAUCUCAGAGGCAAAGUUUGUGCUUUGUUCCACACAUGAAUGCAGAAUGACGGUGAAGAUUCAAGAUGGAGUUGUGAAAAUCAGUGCAACCAGAAGCAGUAACCCAGGCGGAAGUUUAGUGGAAGCACAACAAUUUAAUUGAGGACAGUAGUGAGUUACAACUUGUACCUCUGCACUGAAACAGAGUCAAAAGACUGUCUCUAUGCUAAACCACGAGUUCCCCUCAAAUAAAGAUUGGGAGAGCACAUUUUUUAUCAUGGAUUCAGGAGUUGUUUAAAGCUGACAGCAACUACACUACAUGCAUCGCAGAAGCAGUCAAAAGCAAAUGAUAAGUCAAGUUGCAGGAAAAUACAGCUCGUGAGGUGCAGCAAUCGUAGUCGCAGGGUGGACAAAGCAGUGGAAGCUCCAGGAAUGAAAUGCUUAGUGUUCAGCAUACAUUCUCUGAAGGGUUGAAGAGGUAGAUGUGAGAGAUUUGAACAGUCGUCAGGGAGCUUCAUAACUGAAAUCUCUUCAAGCAGCCCCUGCCUCACACAUUGAGAUUCCACGCCAGGAGCCAACCUGCUAUCCGGCCGAGAUGGAGCCCCUGCAGUGUAGAGGGUAGGCAGCCCGCUGGACAGGUAUGCAGUGCGGGCGUGCCUACCCCCCGGUCUGCAGGGGCUACAGGGACAAGGGAGGACUGCUGGCGCCUGCCGCUGCUUGAGGCGGCUCCUGCCGGCACCUGCGCAGCCUUUCCCUCAUCCCCCGCUUCGCCCCACUCUUUCCUCUUUUCUGUAGACCAUAGUAUUAUUUUUCUAUA